ensembl:lncRNA
GGAACAACUGGACAAUUUGAGUGGAUUGGUAGAUAUAUUUAUCUCGGCCAUUCUCAAGGAACAGUUGAACAGUUUAUCUGUAAACUACACUUCCUCCAUUGAGCCAGUUUCUUGUUACAGUGAAGAUUUGCCUCAAAGUCAGGUGUCAAGUGAUACAUUUCAAGGGAUACCUGGUAAAGAAGAAAAUCGUGAGACUGAUACUUUCUUCUCUGAGAUACUUGAGCAAGUGAUGUACAGAUCUUCUGUACCCUGUUCAUCAGUGGAGAGGCUUUCUUAUAGUAGUGAAGUCACUGAUGAAGUAUUAGAGCUGCGAACUACAGAAGACCAAGUUCCCCUCGAACUUCAGUGCCAGCCCAGUGGAGAGUUGAGAGUGGCUUCCCUUCCUUUCUCUUUCUCCGAUUUGCCCUCAAAUUUGGUAUACUCUGACAGAAUGCUCCAUGAGAGGAUCCGAGCUGAUGAUCCGAAUCAGCUUCAUGAAGAUAUUCAGAGUUACAUGUCCUCUUUGGAUGAGACUAACUUGCCCCAAGCUGAGGUGUCAGAUGUGAAACAGAUAGUGCAGUCAUGCAUUUUGGAUCAGCCUACUGGAACAUCUGCAGUGAGGGAGUCCCUAGUCAUUGUCACUGACAAGAUGAAGACAUUACCGCCUAGUGUACCUUCUUUAUCAUGUGAGGGGACAACACCUACAACAGAGGAAAAUCAUAGCUUCCCUCAGCCACAGGGUAAAUUCUGGGACUACAGGUUUCAUUUCAUAACCAAGUUGAGGAUCAAGACCAAGCACUUUAAAAACAGAAUAGAGUCACAGGAGUCACAAAUACAGUCCAGUGACAACUUUGAAGUAUUGCUCAUUCCUUCAGAAGUCAAGGGGAAGACUUUACCUCCUAGUGUCCCUUCCCUAUGGGGGGAGAGAACACUGCCUGGAGCAGAAAGUGAUCACAGCCUCCCUGAGCCACAGGGUCGAUAUAAAUGGAGGGUCAGCAAGUUCUAUUUGGUACCCAAGUUCAGGACCAAGACCCAGCUCCACAAAAACAGGGUGGAGAGACAAAUACAGGCUGCUGAGACCUCUGAGGUAUUGGAUAUUCCUUCAGAAUUCAAGGGGUGGACUUUACCUCCUAGUGACCCUUACCCAUCGUGGGAAGAAACACUGCCUGCAACAGAAAAUGACCACAGCCUCCCUCAGCCACAGGGUCGGUAUACAUGGAGGGUCAGCAAGUUCCAUUUGGUACCCAAGUUCAGGACCAAGAUGAGGCACCGCAAAACCAAGGUGGAGACACAAAAACAGCCCGCUGAGACUUCUGAAGUGCCGGAUUUUCCCUCAGAAGUCAAGGGGAAGACUUUACCUCCUACUGUCCCUUCCCCAUCGUGGGAGCAAACACUGCCUUCAACAGAAGGGUAUCACAGCCUCCCUCAACCACACGUUCAGUAUAACUGGAGGGUCAGCAAGUUUCAUUUGGUAUCCAAGUUCAAGAUCCAGACCAAGCACUUCAAAAAUAGGGUGGAGCCACUAAUACAGUCUACUGAGAACACUAAUGUAUUGUAUAUUCCUUCAGGUAAGUAUAAACUAGUGUAUAAACAUAUGGAAUAGUCUGCACAAUGAAUAACAGAAUCAAGCAGCAUAUAUAAGUGUUAAACAGUGCUUGUCAUUGUACCUCACCAAUUAACUGUUGUAUUGAAAUAAUUAUUUUUAUAAUAGAUCAGUAUGAGAGAUGGUUCUAAUGUUAAUUGGGUGGUAAUAUAUUGUAUAUCCUGGUGGAGUCUGGUCCUCAGGAACUGUAACUGGACACCCCAGUUAUAGAGUAAAUAUAUAUGAAUUAUUUACUACCAUUUCAGCAAACCAGUGCUAUUGCUCUUUACAUGUUUUUUCCCUGCUCCUCUACUGAGAGAAAGCGCCACCCAGUCAUCAUCAUUUGCAAGAAUGUUAUCUACCAUCUUUCGACGUUUCAGCUGUUUCAAGUGUCAUUCCAGGCUCUGAUGAUUGUUCUUUUUAUUUUGACCUCUUCAAUCUGUCCUAUUGUCAAUCUAAUUGUAAUAAUUGAUAACCUUCACUAGCUUUGCUGUUUAUUCUGAGAUUAAAUCUGUCUAUAUUUACAUUUAUUAAAUUAGCAGACGCUUCCUCCAAAGUGAUGUACAUCUCAUAGAAAAUAUGUGUGCAUCACAUUAGCAUAAAGAGACACUUAGAUGCAAAUGCACACACUGUCUGAACCGCUUGUCCCACAUGGGGUUGCGGGGAGCCGGCGCCUAACUCGGCA